rnacentral:rRNA from 1 species
GAGUAAUAUAUAGUUAAUGUGCCUUGAAGACCGGGAUAGCCAUUGGAAACGAUGAUUAAUACUGGAUAUACCCUCUAAUCGUAAGAUUAGUCGGGAAACGUUUUUUCGCUUCGAGAUCAGACUAAAUCCCAUCAGCUUGUUGGUGAGGUAAGAGCUCACCAAGGCAAUGACGGGUAGCGGGUUUGAGAGGAUGAUCCGCCACACUGGUACUGAGACACGGACCAG